CUUCCUCCAGCCGGUGGCGUCGCCGCCCCAACCCGCGGCGUCCUCCGCCGCUCCUCCUCAGCUUCUCUCUCCUCCGGCCCCGGCGAUCGUGGCCCGCCAGGUGCACCGCCUCCUUACCGCCUCCUCGAGGUCCAUCGCGGCGCCGCGGGAGCUUCCACAGCCGGGACCCGUUACCCGGGUAGCGAGCGCAGCUUCCGGGAAAGGCUGGAGAAGCUUCCGGCCGGAAACGCGAGAUCCGCGCCUAGGAUUCCGUGCGCCUGCGCGGCAGGGAAACCGCGCGCUCGGGGGCGAGGCUCCGCAAAGCUCGCAGACCCCUCGCGGACUACCUAACUUUCCUACUCUUGAGAACCAAAACCAACCAAUAAGAAAGUGGGCGACGCCUACUGCUGAGUGGUUUGAUCAAGCUCCGUUCCGACGAUCAUUCAUUCCAAGACAGACUUGCUCCUCCGGCGGCACGGGGGGUCGGACAAGGCCGUGCUCGCGAGCGCGGGCUCUGUCCUCUGUGGGUUCCGCCCUCCGUGGGUUCUGCCCUCCGAGUCUCGCCCCUUGCUGGCUUUUUUAAGGGGAAGCCUCGGGGCUUGGAGGAAAGCUCACGGGCUGUGAGUUAGACCUAGGUUUCUAAUCACGGCUCUCCUGCUUACUUGUGCCUCAGUUUACUCCUCUGUAAGAAUUAGAUGUUAUCUGUGAGCCCCUUAUAAUUGAGUCUCCACCGGGCGUGCUGGUUCACGCCUGUAAUCCUGGGGAGGCUGAGUCGGGAGGAUUGCUUGAGGCCAGGAGUUGGAGACCAGCCGGGGCAACAAAGCGAGACCCCUUCUCUGCAUAAGAACUGGUUUGUGUCCUGGGGAUUCAGCAGUGAACAAAGUAAACAAAAGUCCUUGCCUUCAUGGAGAUUGUAUUCUGAUGGGGAGAGACAAAAAUAAAUAAGGAAAAUAUGUGGUAUGUUAAGUGGUGGUGAGUUCCAAGGAGAAAAAUAAAGAGGAGAGGAGAAUGGGAACAACAAGGUGAUUUCAGUCUGAAAUGUGAUGUUCAAGAGAGAUCUCAUUGAGAAGAGGAUUUUUGAUAUAAUCGUACAUCCCAAGAAGUUAGAAAAAAGAUUAAACUGAAAAAUAAUGGGAUGAAGGAAAUGUUUAAAAAAGAGAAAUUAAUAAAAGAGAAAGCAAGCUUCGAUAGGCUCCACAAAGGCUUGCUGUGGUGGCUGGUGCCUGUAAUCCCAUCACUGUGGGAGGCGAAGGCGGGCAGAUUGCUGGAGGGCGGGAGUUGGAGACCAGCCUGCCCAACAUAUUGAGUCCUCAUCUCUAUAGGCUGGAGUACAAUGGUUCAAUCUCAGCUCAGUGCAGCCUCCACCUCCCAGGUUCAAGCAAUUCUCCUGCCUCAGCCUCCCAAGUAGCUGGGAUUAUAGGCACGCGCCACGACGCCUGGCGAAUUUUUGUAUUUUUAGUAGAGACGGG
rnacentral:lncRNA from 10 species